rnacentral:rRNA from 1 species
CCUACGGGAGGCAGCAGUGGGGAAUAUUGCACAAUGGGGGAAACCCUGAUGCAGCGACGCCGCGUGAGUGAAGAAGUCUUUCCGUAUGUAAAGCUCUAUCAGCAGGGAAGAAAAUUACGGCACCUGAUUCAUAAGCCGCGGCUAUCUACGUUCCAGCAGCCGCGGUACUACGGAGGGGGCAAUCGUUUUCCGGAUUUACUGGGUGUAAAGGGUGCGUAGACGGCUGGAUAAGUCUGUAGUGAAAUGCCGGGGCUUAACCCCGGAACUGCUUGGGAAACUGUGAGGCUAGAGUGCAGGUGAGGUAAGUGGAAUGCCUGGUGUAGCGGUGAAAUGCGUAGAUAUUAGGAAGAACACCGAUGGCGAAGGCAGCUUACUAGACUGUAACUGACGUUGAGGCUCGAAAGCGUGGGGAGCAAACAGGAUUAGAUACCCGAGUAGUC